GUAGGGAAUCUUCCACAAUGGACGAAAGUCUGAUGGAGCAACGCCGCGUGAGUGAAGAAGGUCUUCGGAUCGUAAAACUCUGUUGUUAGAGAAGAACGUGCAUGAUAGUAACUGAUCAUGUAAUGACGGUAUCUAACCAGAAAGCCACGGCUAACUACGUGCCAGCAGCCGCGGUAAUACGUAGGUGGCAAGCGUUGUCCGGAUUUAUUGGGCGUAAAGGGAACGCAGGCGGUUUUUUAAGUCUGAUGUGAAAGCCUUCGGCUUAACCGAAGAAUAGCAUUGGAAACUGGAAGACUUGAGUGCAGAAGAGGAGAGUGGAAUUCCAUGUGUAGCGGUGAAAUGCGUAGAUAUAUGGAGGAACACCAGUGGCGAAAGCGGCUCUCUGGUCUGUAACUGACGCUGAGGUUCGAAAGCGUGGGUAGCAAACAGGAUUAGAUACCCCUGGUAGUCC
rnacentral:rRNA from 1 species